CAGAACCUCAGGGGGUGAGCUGCUGCUGGUGGGAGGGCCUCAAGGUCUUCAGCAGCAUGGCCUUGGCUUGCAGGUACGUGUAGAAUUUUAUGAUCGACACAAAAUGACACUUCCAGAUUCAGUGUCCACAUCACUGACUCCAGGAAAAUCUGUUCAUCUGACUCUACACGUGCAGGCAGCGAACAGACGUCCAAAUCCCAAUGUUUCUUUGUUGAGCACGGGCUCACGCUGCAGCGGAACCCUCGGAGUAUGGGGUGGUGCCACGGGGAAGCCAUCUUACAGGAAGAGAAAGACAAGAUGGUGGAGGAAGCCGCUAGGAAAGCUCUUCUCUAUGGCUCAGUGUUCUGUAGAAGAUGGAAGUAAAAUGGGUGCGUGUGGACUCUGCCGUUAGCCUGCCUGGGACUUUGUCACCGUCAGUCACCGUGGCGACUGUGACAGCCUCUGAGACCAGUUAGGCCACAAGAACACAGCGGUCUCCCCAGCUCCCGCCCACCUUCAGAUGGCACUCAUUCACGCAGCAAAGUGGACGUGCCUGCCCAGACAGCCGGAGUGAAGAUAGUUCCUGGGCCCGAGGGAGAAAAGCCCCACCAUCUCUGGGACAUUGUCGCAGGCCUGGGGGAAUCCUCUGGCAACCACAUUUCUACUUUCUGGCUCUAAGAAUGUGACCACUCCUGGUGCCUCGGUCCAAGGUGAAAGUUCCAGAGGCGGGCUGCUCUGACCCACUGCUGUUUAAGGACACAGGUUCCUUGCAAGUCUUUGCUCUGUCCUCCGCCGUCACUGACUCCCCGGAAUACUUGUCAUCUGCACGGUUGAAGGUGGUUAUGCGCACAUCCAAGUUCAAGGGACCAACAAAAAGAAGAGAACCCGUGUUGGAAAGGAACUUGAAAGAUUAUCUGAUCAUCUCUGCCUUCACGCAAGUGUAUUUAUUGUAAGCUAAUGAAUGAAGACGUGCAGGCAUAUACUCAGAUGUGACUGAGGUUAGACCAUGGGCAGCUGGUGAAGAUGAGACAGAAUCAUACUGCCUAGGUUCACAAUCCAGAAAUCCAAUAUUUACCUAUUUCAAUAAUAAUCAUGCUGUGGGGAAGAGGGCGCAAACUCACGAUGCAGAUUUCCAUCAAACAGAAUGACAACUGCUGGAAUUACUUUAGUCUGAAGAGUGCGUCUCAGGGGCGCCUGGGUGGCUCAGUCGGUUAAGCGGCCGACUUUGGCUCAGGUCAUGAUCUCGCGGUCCGUGAGUUCGAGCCCCGCGUCGCGCUCUGUGCUGACGGCUCAGAGCCUGGAGCCUGUUUCGGAUUCUGUGUCUCC